CCUACGGGAGGCAGCAGUGGGGAAUAUUGCACAAUGGGGGAAACCCUGAUGCAGCGACGCCGCGUGAGUGAAGAAGUAAUUCGUUAUGUAAAGCUCUAUCAGCAGGGAAGAAAAUGACGGUACUUGAGUAGGAAGCCCCGGCUAACUACGUGCCAGCAGCCGCGGCAAUACGUAGGGGGCAAGCGUUAUCCGGAUUUACUGGGUGUAAAGGGAGCGUAGACGGCAGUGCAAGUCUGGAGUGAAAGGCGGGGGCCCAACCCCCGGACUGCUCUGGAAACUGUACGGCUGGAGUGCAGGAGAGGUAAGUGGAAUUCCUAGUGUAGCGGUGAAAUGCGUAGAUAUUAGGAGGAACACCAGUGGCGAAGGCGGCUUACUGGACUGUAACUGACGUUGAGGCUCGAAAGCGUGGGGAGCAAACAGUAUUAGAUACCCCUGUAGUC
rnacentral:rRNA from 1 species